rnacentral:rRNA from 1 species
AUGCAGCGGUCGUCGACGCCGCCGGAGUUGCGCUGCAGCGGCCGCGACGCCGCUGGAGCAGUGAUGCAGCGGUCGUGGACGCCGCCGGAGUUUGCGCUGCAGCGGCCGCGACGCCGUCGGAGCAGUGAUGCAGCAGCCGCGUCGCCUCCGGAGUUGCUAUGUAGCGGCCGCCGGCCCUGCCGAAGCUGCAAUGCAGUGGUCGUCGACGCCACCGGUGUUGUGAUGCAGCGGUGGCGAUGCUGCCGGAGCUGCUAUACAUCGGCCGCCGGAGCUGCAAUGCAAACGGUCAUCGACGCCACCGGUGUUGUGAUGCAGCGACCUGCAACGGACGUCGACGCCACCGGAGUUGUGAUGCAGUGGCCGCCGGAGCUGCAAUGCAACGGACGUCAACGUCGCCGGAGUUGUGAUGCAGCGGCCGCGACGCCACUGGUGCUAUGA